rnacentral:rRNA from 1 species
AGAGUUUGAUCCUGGCUCAGGAUGAACGCUAGCGGCAGGCUUAACACAUGCAAGUCGAGGGGUAUAGUUCUUCGGAACUAGAGACCGGCGCACGGGUGCGUAACGCGUAUGCAAUCUACCUUUCACAGAGGGAUAGCCCAGAGAAAUUUGGAUUAAUACCUCAUAGUAUAAUUGAAUGGCAUCAUUUAAUUAUUAAAGUCACAACGGUGAAAGAUGAGCAUGCGUCCCAUUAGCUAGUUGGUAAGGUAACGGCUUACCAAGGCGACGAUGGGUAGGGGUCCUGAGAGGGAGAUCCCCCACACUGGUACUGAGACACGGACCAGACUCCUACGGGAGGCAGCAGUGAGGAAUAUUGGUCAAUGGGCGCAAGCCUGAACCAGCCAUGCCGCGUGCAGGAUGACGGUCCUAUGGAUUGUAAACUGCUUUUGUACAGGAAGAAACACUGGUUCGUGAACCAGCUUGACGGUACUGUAAGAAUAAGGAUCGGCUAACUCCGUGCCAGCAGCCGCGGUAAUACGGAGGAUCCAAGCGUUAUCCGGAAUCAUUGGGUUUAAAGGGUCCGUAGGCGGUCAGAUAAGUCAGUGGUGAAAGCCCAUCGCUCAACGGUGGAACGGCCAUUGAUACUGUCUGACUUGAAUUAUUAGGAAGUAACUAGAAUAUGUAGUGUAGCGGUGAAAUGCUUAGAGAUUACAUGGAAUACCAAUUGCGAAGGCAGGUUACUACUAAUGGAUUGACGCUGAUGGACGAAAGCGUGGGUAGCGAACAGGAUUAGAUACCCUGGUAGUCC